rnacentral:tRNA from 2 species
GGGCAGUUAGCUCAGCUGGUAGAGCAUCGUCUUCACACGGCGGGGGCCACAAGUUCAAGUCUUGUACUGCCCACCA